rnacentral:rRNA from 1 species
AAGUCGAACGCGUGUAGCAAUACACGAGUGGCGCACGGGUGAGUAACGCGUGGGAACCUGCCCAGUGGUAGGGAAUAACUGCGGGAGACUGCAGCUAAUACCCUAUACGCCCUACGGGGGAAAGUUUUUCGCCAUUGGAGGGGCCCGCGUCGGAUUAGCUAGUUGGUGAGGUAAGAGCUUACCAAGGCGACGAUCCGUAGCUGGUCUGAGAGGAUGAUCAGCCACACUGGGACUGAGACACGGCCCAGACUCCUACGGGAGGCAGCAGUGGGGAAUAUUGGACAAUGGGGGCAACCCUGAUCCAGCAAUGCCGCGUGAGUGAUGAAGGCCUUAGGGUUGUAAAGCUCUUUCGGCGGGGACGAUGAUGACGGUACCCGCAGAAGAAGCCCCGGCUAACUUCGUGCCAGCAGCCGCGGUAAUACGAAGGGGGCUAGCGUUGUUCGGAAUUACUGGGCGUAAAGGGCGCGUAGGCGGUCUUGUAAGUCAGAUGUGAAAGCCCCGGGCUCAACCCGGGAAUAGCAUUUGAUACUGCGAGGCUUGAGUCCGGGAGAGGAUGGCGGAAUUCCCAGUGUAGAGGUGAAAUUCGUAGAUAUUGGGAAGAACACCGGUGGCGAAGGCGGCCAUCUGGACCGGUACUGACGCUGAGGCGCGAAAGCGUGGGGAGCAAAC